rnacentral:lncRNA from 1 species
AGGCGCCCUGGAACUCCCCGCGCGUGUUGUGACCCAGAAUUCCCGGGGCUGUGGAAGAGACCAUAGACUCAACAGGAGGGGGAGUCCUGGGUAGCGCGCCGGUCUAAAUCGUUACUUGGCGGAAAGUUCCCAUGAGUCUUUGCCAGCGUCCCCCUCCUUUUGUGAGGAUUGGGAUAUUCCGACUCCUUAAGGGCCUGGCGCACAUAAGGUGUGACCUUUUCAUUCCCGUUGUUAUGGAGGUAGGCUCUCUAGGAAUCUGGGAGUAGUAGCUGGGGGGCAAGAGCAAAUAAAGAGCUCGAGCUUCUGUGGUCUCUGGGGAGAUGUUCCCGGGAAGCCUGUCUAGAGGGCGGAGGGCAGCUGUUGAGAUGGCGUGGCUCCCCGGCUCCUGCGCCCGCGUGGCUUUCGCGGCGGGCGCUGCGGCCCGGUAUUGGACAGCCUGGCAGGGCAGCGCGGGGCCGAAUCCGGCUGCCGUGGCUGAGGCUCAUGGAUCACUCUUUUGUGGUAGGGCCACAUCUGCCAGAGCCUGGAGUCUGCGAAGGCCGGGACCCGGUUCCCCGGCCCACAGUGGGGGUGUGCAAACCCGAGAGAACUGGGAAGUGCCGUCAGAAGCGAUAACUGACGACGUCUAAUGUCUAUCUGACCGCAGUCGCUGAAACCUCUACAACUUAGUUGACCGUAACUGCCAGAGCCCUGCCCUGAAUUCCUGUCCUUACUCCCUCUUUAAGAUUGCGUACCCACUGCAGAGUGCUGAAGACGGGGUAGCCACGAGGUUGCAAAUUCGUGAAGAAUCAGCAUCAUGUUUGGCAGCUGAGUAUUGGAGCCAGGAGCCUGCCAUGAGGUUUUGAGAACAGAGUGCUGUUUUAGAGCUGGCAGCAGCAUCUCAGCCCAAGAGAAGGUUAUAUUCCCAGAGGAUGUCAGUCCCAAGGACCAGUAGCUGCCAUCAGUUUGGAUUCUGAAAACUAACUGGCAUCAACACUGGGUGUAGAAACAUGCUUGCCUUAUGUAUCAGAGGACAUGCUCAGCAGAUCCAAGAGAUAUAUUUGGCAACUUUUUCUAGAAAAGGCACAUUGGGUAUCAUUCAUUACAUUCUUGAGUUUUUUUGGGUUUUUUUUUUUUUUUUUGAGACAGUCUUGCUGUAUUGCCCAGGCUGGAGUGUGGUGGCACAAUCACAGCUCAUUGCAUCCUCAAUCACCCAGGCCUAAGCAAUCCUCCCACCUUGUAGCUGGGACUACAGCUCACAGCACACCUGGCUAAAAUUUUUUUUUUGUUGAGACGGAUUCUCUAUGUUGCCCAGGCUGGUCUCAGGCUCCUGGGCUCAGAUGGUCCUCCUGCCUCAGCUUCCAAAGGCACAGGCCAAGUUGUAGCUUUGUCCCUUGCCAUCAUGCCCAACAAGAGGUUCUAUACCUUUUAAUGAAUUGACUUUCAUAAAUUGGUUAUGUUGGUGGGCAAAGUUCUUUAAGCUGGAAAUUGUAAAUUCCUCCUGAAAUGUUUUUUCAUGCAGUUACCAUGAACUAAUACUACAAUAAAGGAUGGUCUUGGGUGUCAAUUCUUGAAAAUGUGUAUUUGAAGAAAAAGUAAAUUUCGCCUACUGUUGUCAGAUAUUAGCAGUCCAGAUAUUCGCUCUAGCUUGUAAACUUCCCUGUGGUCAGCCUAAGCUCUUAACCCCCUAUUCUACAGCUUUAGACUGAAGGCAAAAGCUCAAAGCAUUUAAGGCCUCCUCAAUUUCGGCCCCUGCUGCUCUGUGCUCUGUUCCUUGGUGUAGCUUUGUUCCAGCUCCUGCAGCAUUGCACCAUUCCUAACCACAACCUUAACAGCAUGUAGGGCCCCAUACUCUAGGCCCCAUCUUGCUGUCUUCCUGUGUUGGAAUCUUGCCUACCAAGGCCUGUCAAGAGGGUCCUCCCCCAUACUGUUUGCCCACAAGGUUCAAGAGUGAUUGGCUCCCAGUCUUCCUGGACUGAACUACUUGGAUCUAGGGGUUGCCUGUUAUUUAGAAGAGAUCCCUUAACUGGUAGGGCCCUUUCAGUAGGACAGUAUUUGGGUAAGGGGAGGGUAUAAGAUGAGAACCUUUGCUAAGUUAGGUUCCUUUGGGAGCCUCCAGUUUGUUUCUCCCUCUCCCCAGCCAUCUUGUUGGAUCUGCCAAGGGAUUGGACUCCUUCAUUGUCCUAGGUUUUUAAGGUUUUAAAGCCCACCUUCUGCAGUCGGUUUUCUGGAAUGUGUUGGUGGAUUACUUAAGAGUUAUGGGGAAAGAGUUCUUACGGCCUGUCUAGGUCAGUGAAGUCAUACUGGCAAGUGACAAGAAGGAAGCCAGGUUUGUCACUUACCCUGCAUGCUAAGGACAUCAGAGCCCACAUAGAAGUCUGGUAGUUUUUCAGCCAGCAGUGGGUAGGGAAGGUGGAUAGGGGAUUUCUGAACAGGACUUUAUGCCUGUAUGCAUGGGCACCAUGUCUGUCCUGAGCACUACCACAUGGCAUCGUAGGCUGCUCUGUCAAAGGAUAUAGCGAUAGCUGGUCCUAUGGGCAGAUGCCUAGAAUCAAGGUGGGCCUCAGAAAUAGGGCUGGGUCUCCAUAAGGAGGUAGGCCACGUUCAGUCCACCCCUAGCAUAGAUGGAACUGGGGUCUCGGGCAACCAGGAGUUACAGGAAUUUUGCUAAAGAUUCCCACCUUCCUUGAGUGGGGACACAUUCCUCUGGUUGGAGCUUGUUCCCCUAAAUGAAAAAUGUAAUGCAGUACAUGUAGGGGCCCUACUGUAUUCUUUUUCUGGGGGAAAGCUCUUGGUGUUCACAAUGGCUCAGGCUUACAGUACCUCCAGCCAUGUGCCCAUUUCCACAAGUCUUUGGGGAAGGCCAUGAGCUGAGCUGAGAGGGUUCUCUGGGGCCUGGGAUGACUUAAGAACCAAAUGGCAGAUAAUGGGAUAGGGGGCAGAUGCAGAGGACCAACGGGAAGUUUUAACACAAAUCCCCUUCCCCAGAUGAUAUGGUUUGCCUUUCUGUAGGUGGGUGGCCCAGGCCAAUUUUUGGCAAUAUCCUUAACCCACCUGAU